AUUAAACAAAGGUCUGUCCACAACUUAAAAAAAAAAAACAUACACACAGGAAGAAAGCAGAGGGGACCCAACAGCCCCCUGGACACGGCGGGGCUGAGACCCGGGAGCCGUGCUCGGCCGCCCAGCGGGCACUCUGUUAUCCGUUUGAAGGCUGUGGACCCCCUCGCUGUUCCUCUGUGUCAGCACGGGUCUGAGUGGACGAUACCUGAGGCUGGCAUGGAGACCUCCACAGCAGGCUCUCGUCCUGCCUGCCGCUGCUCUCCCAGGCUCCGCGUGCUGCACGUCCCCACUGAGCUGCACGGGCAGGUGCAGGCGAGGCUGUGCAGUGGGCCUGUGCGACGGCCCCUCCAACAGAAGCGCCUCCUCGCCCGUGGGCUCUCCUUGCCGGGCUCUCCUCCUGGGCCACUUCUCCCGAGAGACCCUGACCUCCUCUCUGUCCCGGGAGCACUGCUGGAUGGCCACAGGCCCUGGACAGUGGCGGCCAUGGCCUCUCUCAUCCCCGGUGGCUCCUGUGGGCCGCCACUGCCCUUUUCUUUGGUCUCUCUGCUGACUCUGGUCUGGGUUUACUUGCGCUUUCUGUCGGACAGGCAUUCGCUCAGCACCGCAGCGGACCCUGGCUCUCCCGCUCUCGCUCCUCUGCGGUGACUGACCGUGCACGGCACGUGGACCACUGUGGAGUGUCCAGGUCAGUGUGUCAGGAACACCAGCGAUGCCCCAGAGCCACACCACUGCCCCUCGGUGGCUGAGGAGCAGGGUCCCGGCCAAACUCUGGAGACGCUCCUGUCCCUUAGCCAGAGUGAGAUUGCAGACAGCUCGCACCACCUCCUCCCUGUAC
rnacentral:lncRNA from 1 species